rnacentral:rRNA from 1 species
UACGUAGGGUGCGAGCGUUGUCCGGAAUUAUUGGGCGUAAAGAGCUCGUAGGCGGUCUGUCGCGUCGAUCGUGAAAACUUGGGGCUUAACCCUGAGCUUGCGGUCGAUACGGGCAUGACUGGAGUUCGGCAGGGGAGACUGGAAUUCCUGGUGUAGCGGUGAAAUGCGCAGAUAUCAGGAGGAACACCGGUGGCGAAGGCGGCUAUCUGGACAGAAACUGACGCUGAGGCGCGAAAGCUAGGGGAGCAAACAGG